rnacentral:lncRNA from 1 species
GACUCACUGCAACCUCUGCCUCCUGGCUUCAAGUGAUUUUCCUUCCUUAGCCUCCUGAGUAGCUGGAAUUACAGGCAGGUGCCACCAUGCCCGGCUAUUUUUUGUUUUUGUAGUUUUAGUAGAGAUGGGGUUUUACCAUGUUAGUCAAGCUGGUCUCCAACUCUUGACCUCAAGUGAUCUGCCUGCCUUGGCCUCCCAAAGUGCUGGAAUUAAAGCGUGAGCCAGCACGCCAAGCAAACCCAAGUCUUAAUCAUAGAUCACCUUGAGAAAUAUCUGAUAAACUGGUAGGCAGGCUACAUUACCUGCCUCCUCCCAAACCACGAAAUCAUAACAGAAACUUAUCCUAACAAAGAGGUAGAGAGAGAUACUCUCCAAAAAAGGUCUUUUUCAAAAGAAUCAGGAUACUCUGUAAGGCCAAUUUCAUGUGCUUCGUAUGUAUUUAUUGCAGAAACUGGAUAUCUGCUGAAGUAGCAUGAUAUUCGCUGCUUUGUCUGGUGAAGUGAGUCUUUAUAACAAGGAAUAUACUCUGAUUCUCAAUACUAGAGAGUUGUUUUUGAGGGUGUCAUAAAAGUAAUCUGCUUUCUUCCACCCACCAAAUUCUUUGUUAACAUUACUCCCAGAUUCUUCUCUUAUGCACUGGAUAUUGAAAACAUAGCUUCCAACCCAGAUGAUCUCUGCUACCUAUAAGGUCAAGCUUUGUGUUAAUUGUACUACUCAUUCUGUUUUCUAGCAGUUUGUGUGUGUGUGUGUGUGUGUGUGUGUGUGUGUGUGUGUGUAGGGUGGUGACUUCAUAACAUUUUCAUGAUAAAUGCUUUAAAGACAUCUUUGAGUAGCAGUUUUCAGGCUCUAUAAAAUCUAAAACUGCCCUCAACAAAGAAAUUAAUUGGAGUUACUUACGUCAAAGAUCUUACUUCCAUAUAUCAUGUCAUCAUGAGAAUGCAAGCAUGACAUUUUCCUUACUUGUAUGCAUGCCAAAUGGUUAGUCAUGAGGCCACACAGAGAAUGCAUCAGAAGCUAAACAUCCAGCUUAAGAAAACCCGAGGAAUUUCACUGCUGCAAAUGGAAAAGAAUGAAACAUAGAAUGCCAAUCAAAGGAGUGUGUUUCAUUCAUAAGAAACUCCUUUAAUUUUGCUAUGGCACGCCAACCAUUCAUAAGGUGGGAAAUAUGGAGAAUAAGUAAGUGGAAAGAUACUUUCUGGCAUCUUCCUUUGCUUCCUUUACUAGUCUCAUGAUGAAUACGAUUAUGGAUUUCUAUUUCUAAAAAUUAUUAAUAGAUCAGUAAUGUGUGCAAGAUAAUUUUUGGAAUAAAUACAAACUAUUCGAACUAUCACUUAAUUUACACUGACAGAUUCUCACCUAUAUCAGAUGCCUAACAAAUCAAAAAUAUUUAUGUGAUUUCUGUACUAUUCCUUUUAUGUAAAUGGAAGGAAAUGUAAAAGGUGUGCAUAUGUUUUAGCUUCUACAUCAAAUAGAAACACUGGGACUGUGUGCACAAUCAUUUGGUAUUUAUCGGAAGAAUUUAAAAUCUGACU